rnacentral:tRNA from 1 species
AGGGGUGUGGCUCAGUGGUCAGAGCAUCUGCGUGACAUACAGAAGAUCUCUGAUUCAAUCAUGGCAUCUCCA